rnacentral:rRNA from 1 species
UACGGGGGGGCAAGCGUUGUUCGGAAUUACUGGGCGUAAAGGGCUCGUAGGUGGCCAACUAAGUCAUACGUGAAAUCCCUCAGCUUAACUGGGGAACUGCGUCUGAUACUGGAUGGCUUGAGUUUGGGAGAGGGAUGCGGAAUUCCAGGUGUAGCGGUGAAAUGCGUAGAUAUCAGGAGGAACACCGAUGGCGAAGGCAGGUCACUGGGCCGCAACUGACGCUGAGGAGCGAAAGCAUGGGAGCGAACAGG